UCAGAACGAACGCUGGCGGCAGGCCUAACACAUGCAAGUCGAGCGCGCCUUCGGGCGAGCGGCGGACGGGUUAGUAACGCGUGGGAACGUGCCCAGAUCUACGGAAUAGCCACUGGAAACGGUGAGUAAUACCGUAUACGCCCUUCGGGGGAAAGAUUUAUCGGAUUUGGAUCGGCCCGCGUUAGAUUAGGUAGUUGGUGGGGUAACGGCCUACCAAGCCUACGAUCUAUAGCUGGUUUUAGAGGAUGAUCAGCAACACUGGGACUGAGACACGGCCCAGACUCCUACGGGAGGCAGCAGUGGGGAAUCUUGGACAAUGGGGGCAACCCUGAUCCAGCCAUGCCGCGUGAGUGAAGAAGGCCCUAGGGUCGUAAAACUCUUUCGCCUGUGAUGAUAAUGACAGUAGCAGG
rnacentral:rRNA from 1 species